CAUGGCGUCGCGUUCUGUCCCUCCAGGGCUGGAGCAGCGCGUACUCCAUCGAGUCGGUGAUCAUGCAGAUCAGCGCGACUCUGGUGAAAGGGAAAGCGCGAGUACAAUUCGGAGCUAAUAAGAAUCAGUACAGCCUGACGAGAGCGCAGCAGUCCUACAAGUCCCUGGUGCAGAUCCACGAGAAGAAUGGCUGGUACACACCGCCCAAGGAGGACGGCUAGCACGCGCCGCAGCACCCAUCCCAUCGUCUGCUGGAUGCUCCACUUGGAUCGUAACGACGCCUCUUGGCUCUCUCCCCGGACGUGGUAGCUCUGCCUGUUGCAGGACAAUAACGGCUGUUAAAAAACUCUAAAAAAAAAAAAAACCCAACCAAAACUGUUUUAAGCAGUUGGACUGACCUAAAACACUUGCUGGACCCUUGCUGUCAGGCGUUCAUGUUAAAACAAACUUUUGAGCCUCUUGUAUUGCUGGAAACUUUCGACUCUACUCCAGUCUAGAGCGUCCUCCUUACCUAUGCUAUGGAUUUAAUUUAUUUUCUUAUUUCAUGUACACUGCUUUUUUUUGUUACAGUGUAUGAUGGAUGUGUAUGGAAAAUGUAUCUUUGGAGAAAAAAAAAAAACAAAUUACAGUUUGUUAAUUUGAA